UUACGGCCAUAUCGCGUUGAAACCCCGGUUCCCUUACGAUCACCAAAGUUAAGCAAGGUCGAUCAUGGUCAGUAACGAAAUGGGUGACCGCUUGUGAAUACCAGGUGCUGCAUG